UACGAAGGGGGCUAGCGUUGUUCGGAUUUACUGGGCGUAAAGCGCGUGUAGGCGGGGCGCUAAGUUGGGGGUGAAAUCCCGAGGCUCAACCUCGGAACUGCCUUCAAAACUGGCGACCUGGAGCAAGAUAGAGGCGAGUGGAAUUGCGAGUGUAGAGGUGAAAUUCGUAGAUAUUCGCAGGAACACCAGUGGCGAAGGCGACUCGCUGGAACUUUGCUGACGCUGAGACGCGCAAGCGUGGGGAGCAAACAGG
rnacentral:rRNA from 1 species